rnacentral:rRNA from 1 species
AUUGAACGCUGGCGGCAGGCCUAACACAUGCAAGUCGAGCGGAUGAAGGGAGCUUGCUCCUGGAUUCAGCGGCGGACGGGUGAGUAAUGCCUAGGAAUCUGCCUGGUAGUGGGGGAUAACGUCCGGAAACGGGCGCUAAUACCGCAUACGUCCUGAGGGAGAAAGUGGGGGAUCUUCGGACCUCACGCUAUCAGAUGAGCCUAGGUCGGAUUAGCGAGUUGGUGGGGUAAAGGCCUACCAAGGCGACGAUCCGUAACUGGUCUGAGAGGAUGAUCAGUCACACUGGAACUGAGACACGGUCCAGACUCCUACGGGAGGCAGCAGUGGGGAAUAUUGGACAAUGGGCGAAAGCCUGAUCCAGCCAUGCCGCGUGUGUGAAGAGGGUCUUCGGAUUGUAAAGCACUUUAAGUUGGGAGGAAGGGCAGUAAGUUAAUACCUUGCUGUUUUGACGUUACCAACAGAAUAAGCACCGGCUAACUUCGUG